UUUUUGUGUGCAUUAACACAUUUCAUAAAUGACGCUAACCAAUUAUUUUCGAUGAUUGAUCGGUUGUAAUGAACCAAUCAUCAAUUAUGAGAUUUUAACCAAUUCCCAACACUAAUAAGAAUACUAAUGAGCAUAUCUAUAAUACAUCCAAUUCAUACCCUAAAGCAUAUUCAAAGUGCUACAUUUACCCACAAUGUCGAUUUUUAUGGAUCUUAACAGCUGUAACAAAUUUGCAUCCUCAGUGCAUACCAAUUGAAAAUAGAGGCAAAUGAUUUCUAACAUCUACACUCAGUAACUGUUGACAGAUCCAUAUAGAUUCUAAUUGUACAUAACCUGCUGUUCAUGUCAAACAUAUUGAAGUAUUAUGUGUUGGUGAUCGUUGAACUUUACACAUGAAUCGUAUAGACUUUGCUCAGUGAGAUCAUGCAAUCAAUCAAUACUUUGAUAAUAGUGGUGAUCAAUAAUCAAUGAUGUCCAGGUAAGCUACAGACUUACAGGUAUUGUUCUGUUCCUCUGUGAGGUAAGGUGUGCAUGUCCCCAUGUGUCUUUCUGCAGUUGAAACCCUUUUGUUGAAGUAAUAAUUUUUCCAACUGUAUUACACCUCCAUGGAUGAGUGUUUGGAAGUAAGAUAAAUAUGGCCUUGUCUUAUCAUUACUGUUAAAGGUUUGUAGGGUUUUUGGAAUCAGAUAUACUUUUCAAAACAAGUUAGAGAACGCCAAUAAUUGGAGUGAGUGAGUGAACAUUGUCCCAGUUAUAUCAUGGCCUGUCAGUUUAAUGUGUGAGGAAAGCUGGAACAGAUGCAAGACCGAGACAUUUACCACUUUGCUGAAUCCCAUAGGUUACGGUGUGGGAUAACCUGAGACAUUUACCACUUUGCUGAAUCCCAUAGGUUACGGUGUGGGAAAAUCCGAGACAUUUACCAAUUUGCUGAAUCCCAUAGGUUAUGGUGUGGGAAAACCCGAGACAUUUACCACUUUGUUGAAUCCCAUAGGUUAUGGUGUGGGGAAACCCAGAAACAUGAUCUGGGUGAAUUGGGAUUCAAACCGAGCAUCAUAGGUUUCUGGACGUUAGUUAGACUAACGCUUCUUUUCUCUCUACCCCCCCAGUACAUGUGUACAAAAUUGCUGACCCCCUUCCUCCCAA